rnacentral:rRNA from 1 species
AUUGAACGCUGGCGGCAGGCCUAACACAUGCAAGUCGAGCGGAUGAAGGGAACUUGCUCCUGGAUUCAGCGGCGGACGGGUGAGUAAUGCCUAGGAAUCUGCCUGGUAGUGGGGGAUAACGUCCGGAAACGGGCGCUAAUACCGCAUACGUCCUGAGGGAGAAAGUGGGGGAUCUUCGGACCUCACGCUAUCAGAUGAGCCUAGGUCGGAUUAGCUAGUUGGUGGGGUAAAGGCCUACCAAGGCGACGAUCCGUAACUGGUCUGAGAGGAUGAUCAGUCACACUGGAACUGAGACACGGUCCAGACUCCUACGGGAGGCAGCAGUGGGGAAUAUUGGACAAUGGGCGAAAGCCUGAUCCAGCCAUGCCGCGUGUGUGAAGAAGGUCUUCGGAUUGUAAAGCACUUUAAGUUGGGAGGAAGGGCAGUAAGUUAAUACCUUGCUGUUUUGACGUUACCAACAGAAUAAGCACCGGCCAACUUCGUG